GAUGAACGCUGGCGGCGUGCCUAAUACAUGCAAGUCGAGCGAACAGAUAAGGAGCUUGCUCCUUUGACGUUAGCGGCGGACGGGUGAGUAACACGUGGGUAACCUACCUAUAAGACUGGGAUAACUUCGGGAAACCGGAGCUAAUACCGGAUAACAUCUGGAACCGCAUGGUUCUAAAGUGAAAGAUGGUUUUGCUAUCACUUAUAGAUGGACCCGCGCCGUAUUAGCUAGUUGGUAAGUUAACGGCUUACCAAGGCAACGAUACGUAGCCGACGUGAGAGGCUGAUCGCCCACACUGGAACGGAGACACGGACAAGACUACUAAGAGAGGCAGCAGUCGGGAAUCUGCCGCAAUGGGCGAAAACAUGACGGAGCAACGCCGCGUGAGUGAUGAAGGGUUUCGGCUCGUAAAACUCUGUUAUUAGGGAAAAACAAACGUGUAAGUAACUGUGCACGCCUUGACGGUACCUAAUCAGAAAGCCACGGCUAACUACGUG
rnacentral:rRNA from 1 species